ensembl:snoRNA
CCCGCCACUACACCCGUCUGCCGGUGACUGAGUGUAAUCCAGUGGAGGCUCAGAGCGACCCAGCUUUAGGAAACAGAGCUGUUCACACUAAUGGACACCUCUGUGCCGAAAAGUCUGGAACAUUU